ACGCUCGACAUCUACGGGAGGCGGCAGUGGGGAAUAUUGCACAAUGGGGGAAACCCUGAUGCAGCAACGCCGCGUGAAGGAAGACGGUUUUCGGAUUGUAAACUUCUGUCCUUAGUGAAGAUAGUGACGGUAGCUAAGGAGCAAGCCACGGCUAACUACGUGCUAGCAGCCGCGGUAAUCUGAGCGGGCUGGCAAGGC
rnacentral:rRNA from 1 species